rnacentral:tRNA from 5 species
GGGCAAUUAGCUCAGAUGGAUAGAGCGUUGGCCUCCGGAGCCAAAGGCCACAGGUUCGAAUCCUGUAUUGCCCACCA